rnacentral:misc_RNA from 1 species
GAUGAAGAACGCAGCAAAAUGCGAUAAGUAGUGUGAAUUGCAGAAUUCAGUGAAUCAUCGAAUCUUUGAACGCACAUUGCGCCCGCCAGUAUUCUGGCGGGCAUGCCUGUUCGAGCGUCAUUUCAACCCUCAGGCCCCCAGUGCCUGGCGUUGGGGAUCGGCGUGGGCGGCGAACGGCUCUCCGGAGCCCGAGCCAAUGCCUGCCGGCCCCGAAAUUCAGUGGCGGUCUCGCUGUAGUCCCCCUCUGCGUAGUAGCACAACUCGCAUUGGAGCUCGGCGGUGGCCAUGCCGUAAAACACCCCACUUCUGAAAGUUGACCUCGGAUCAGGUAGGAAUACCCGCUGAACUUAAGCAUAUCAAUAAGCGGAGGA